GGAUUAGGCAUGCAAGUCGAACGAGGAUAUAUCCUUCGGGAUAUAAGCCGAGUGGCGCAAGGGUGAGUAAUGCAUAGAUUACCUGCCUCUAGGAUAAGGACAACUUUGUGAAAACGAAGCUAAUACUUAAUAAUACAAAAGAAAAUAAUUUUCUUUUGUCAAUGGGAGGGUAGCAAUACCUUUUGCCUAGAGAGGGGUUUAUGUCCUAUCAGCUUGUUGGUGGGGUAAUGGCCUACCAAGGCGAAGACGGGUAGCCGGUCUUAGAGGAUGGUCGGCUACACUGGGACUGAGACACUGCCCAGACUUCUACGGAAGGCUGCAGUCGAGAAUCUUUCGCAAUGCCCGAAAGGGUGACGAAGCGACGCCGCGUGAGUGAGGAAGGCCUUAGGGUUGUAAAACUCUGUCAGGAGUUAAGAAAUAUAAGUGUGCUAAUACCGCAUUUAUUUGACGAAGGCUCCAAAGGAAGCCACGGCUAACUCUGUGCCAGCAGCCGCGGUAAUACAGAGGUGGCAAGCGUUGUUCGGAAUUAUUGGGCGUAAAGAGCACGUAGGUGGGUUUGUAAGUCAGAUGUGAAAGCCUUCUGUUCAACGGAAGAAUUGCAUCUGAAACUGCAAGUCUUGAGUGUAGGAGGGGAGAAUGGAACUUCUGGUGGAGCGGUGAAAUGCGUAGAUAUCAGAAGGAACGCCGGCGGCGAAAGCGAUUCUCUGGCCUAUUACUGACACUCAGUGUGCGAAAGCUAGGGGAGCAAACGGGAUUAGAUACCCCGGUAGUCCUAGCCGUAAACGAUGGGCACUAAGUAGAGGGGAUUACCGAUGUUCUCUCUGCCGUAGCUAACGCAUUAAGUGCCCCGCCUGGGGAGUACGGCCGCAAGGCUAAAACUCAAAAGAAUUGACGGGGGCUCGCACAAGCGGUGGAGCAUGUGGCUUAAUUCGAUGCAACGCGAAAAACCUUACCGGGGCUUGACAUGGUAGAAGUAGGAACCCGAAAGGGUAACGAACGGUAUCCAGUCCGUAGCUAUCACAGGUGUUGCAUGGCUGUCGUCAGCUCGUGUCGUGAGACGUUGGGUUAAGUCCCCUAACGAGCGAAACCCUUGUUUUUAGUUACCAGCGGGUUAUGCCGGGUACUCUAGAAAGACUGCCGUCGUCAAGACGGAGGAAGGUGGGGAUGACGUCAAGUCAUCAUGGCCCUUAUGCCCCGGGCCGCACACGUGCUACAAUGGUCGGUACAAACGGAAGCGAAGCCGAGAGGUGAAGCGAAUCCUAAAAAGCCGAUCUCAGUUCGGAUUGGGGGCUGAAAUUCGCCUCCAUGAAGUUGGAAUCGCUAGUAAUCGCGGAUCAGCAAUGCCGCGGUGAAUAUGUUCCCGAGCCUUGUACACACCGCCCGU
rnacentral:rRNA from 1 species